rnacentral:rRNA from 1 species
UCAAGCUAGAAAGAGCGCAAGGGGAAUGCCUUGGCAUCAGGAGCCGACGAAGGACGUGACAAGCUGCGAUAAGCUGCGGUGAGCUGCACAUAAGCUUUGACCCGCAGAUUUCCGAAUGGGGAAACCCGGCAGAGCAAUACUCUGUCAGCGUGCGUUGAAUCAAAUAGGCGUACGCGGGGAACCGCCUGAACUGAAACAUCUAAGUAGGGCGAGGAAGAGAAAUCAACCGAGAUUCCGCAAGUAGUGGCGAGCGAACGCGGAAGAGGCCAAACCGAGAGUAGUAAUACUUUCGGGGUUCGGACAGCGGACGGUAUGCUGAAGGUUAGCAGAAGGACAUGGGACGGUCCACCAAAGAGAGUGAAAGUCUCGUAUGCGAAAACUGAAAGCAGCCAGCUGAAUCCAGAGUACCGCCGGACACGUGAAACCCGGUGGGAAUAUGGGGGGACCAUCCUCCAAGCCUAAAUACUACCCAGUGACCGAUAGCGUAUAGUACUGUGAAGGAAAGGUGAAAAGAACCCCGGGAGGGGAGUGAAAAGAACCUGAAACCUUGUGCUUACAAGCACACAAAGCACGUCAACGUGUGAUGUGGUACCUUUUGUAGAAUGGUCCGGCGAGUGAAUGUAACUGGCGAGGUUAAGUUCUUAAGGAACGGAGCCGAAGCGAAAGCGAGUCUGAAUAGGGCGUCUUAGUCAGUUGUAUUCGACCCGAAACCGGGUGACCUAUCCAUGUCCAGGAUGAAGUUAAGGUAAAACUUGAUGGAGGUCCGAACCCACGGUCGUUGAAAUGCCCGGGGAUGAGAUGUGGAUAGCGGAGAAAUUCCAAUCGAACCCGGAUAUAGCUGGUUCUCUCCGAAAUAGCUUUAGGGCUAGCCUCGACUGAACAUUACCGGAGGUAGAGCACUGAAUGGGCUAGGGGCCGAGAGGUUACUGAACCCUAUCAAACUUCAAAUGCCGGAAAAUGAUAGUCGGGAGUCAGACUGCGUGAGAUAAGUUUCGUAGUCGAAAGGGAAACAGCCCAGACCCACAGCUAAGGUCCCAAAGUACGGUUAAGUGGAAAAGGAUGUGGAGUUGCACAGACAACCAGGAUGUUGGCUUAGAAGCAGCCACUCAUUAAAAGAGUGCGUAAUAGCUCACUGGUCGAGUGACUCUGCGCCGAAAAUUUAACGGGGCUAAAUCGUACACCGAAGCUUGGGAUGCAUCUAUGAUGCAUGGUAGGAGAGCGUUGAAUGCGGGGUGAAGUCAGAGCGAAAGCGCUGGUGGACUGCAUUGAAGUGAGAAUGCCGGAAUGAGUAGCGAGAUUUAUGUGAGAAUCAUAAAGGCCGAAAGACUAAGGUUUCAGAAGGAAGGUUCGUCCGCUUCUGGUUAGCCGGGAGCUAAGGUGAGGCCGAAAGGCGUAGCCGAUGCACAUACGGUGGAGAUUCCGUAGCCGUCGAAAUAUUUAAGCAAAGGGACACUUAUGAAGGACAUGACCCGGGCGAUGGUAGCCCCGGGCGUAAGGGACUGAAAACAAGUAAGGAAGCAUGUUUGGAUUAAGGCGAGAAAAGCUUUGUGUAUAUAUCAGACGUCCGUACCGCAAACCGACACAGGUAGUCAGGAAGAGGAUUCUAAGGCCAACGGGAGAAGGGUAGUUAAGGAACUCGGCAAAUUGACCCCGUAACUUCGGGAUAAGGGGCGGUGCGUAGGCACCCGCAGUGAAUAGGUCCAGGCGACUGUUUAUCAAAAACACAGCUCUCUGCUAAAUCGAAAGAUGACGUAUAGGGGGUGACACCUGCCCGGUGCUGGAAGGUUAAGAGGAGGAGUGCAAGCUCCGAAUUGAAGCCCCAGUAAACGGCGGCCGUAACUAUAACGGUCCUAAGGUAGCGAAAUUCCUUGUCGGGUAAGUUCCGACCCGCACGAA